UCCAACUACAAGGGUUGAACAUGGAGUUGUAGCUAAAGUUAAAGGAGCUGUCCUACCAAGGGAAGUAACUUGAAAACAUUUCAUGUGAAGUCAAGAGAAACAUGUUACAGACAGGAGUAACUUAGAUCACAAAGGAUAGUUCAGCUUGUUUGGAACAGCCGUAUGUCAGAUUCUCUCUAAGGAUUUCAUAUCAAGCUAAGAGGAAGGCAUAUUGUACCAUUGAGGUAAGUUGAAUGAUAGUUUAUACAAUUCUAUGGAUUAUUUAAAAACGUGGUUUUUUUCCGAAAAUGAAGCAAAACUGAUGUAUGAUGUCCAGUCCAGGAAAGAAACGACAAGAAAAAGACGUGUUGAAGGUUCCUUCCAUUCGGCGAUUUAUACUCUAUGCCAAGAGGAACACAUUUUGUUCAAAAACUUGUCAAACUGGUGAAGACACAUAGGGCCUAGUUGAGCAUGGUUAUUGAGGUAAAGCAGAUGUAGCCAAGGGAAGAAACUUGAAAACAAGAUUUACUAUGCAAUGCUAAGGGAGGCUAAUCUUGUUCA